AUACGUAGGUGGCAAGCGUUGUCCGGAAUUAUUGGGCGUAAAGCGCGCGCAGGCGGUCCUUUAAGUCUGAUGUGAAAGCCCACGGCUCAACCGUGGAGGGUCAUUGGAAACUGGAGGACUUGAGUGCAGAAGAGGAAAGUGGAAUUCCAAGUGUAGCGGUGAAAUGCGUAGAGAUUUGGAGGAACACCAGUGGCGAAGGCGACUUUCUGGUCUGUAACGGACGCUGAGGCGCGAAAGCGUGGGGAGCAAACAGGAUUAGAUACCCGGGUAGUCCACGCCGUAAACGAUGAGUGCUAAGUGUUAGGGGGUUUCCGCCCCUUAGUGCUGCAGCUAACGCAUUAAGCACUCCGCCUGGGGAGUACGGUCGCAAGACUGAAACUCAAAUGAAUUGACGGGG
rnacentral:rRNA from 1 species